UACGAAGGGGGCAAGCGUUGCUCGGAAUGACUGGGCGUAAAGGGCGCGUAGGCGGCUUACUUAGUUAGGCGUGAAAUUCCUGGGCUCAACCUGGGGACUGCGUCUAAUACAUGUAGGCUUGAGUGUGAAAGAGGGUCGUGGAAUUUCCAGUGUAGAGGUGAAAUGCAUAGAUAUUGGAAAGAACACCGGUGGCGAAGGCGGCGACCUGGUUCAUUACUGACGCUGAGGCGCGAAAGCGUGGGGAGCAAACAGG
rnacentral:rRNA from 1 species